GUCGUAACGAGAACGGAUAUUAGCUUGCUAAUAUUGUCAGCUAAGUGGCGCACGGGUGAGUAAUAUAUAGUUAAUCUGCCCCAAAGAAGAGAAUAAUUGUUGGAAACGACUUGUAACGCUCUAUAUGCCUUUAUUACAUAAGUAAGCAAGGGAAACAUUUAUGGCUUUGGGAUGAGACUGUACGGUAUCAGCUAGUUGGUGAGGUAAUGGCUCACCAAGGCUAUGACAUCUAACUGGUUUGAGAGGAUGAUCAGUCACACUGGAACUGAGACACGGUCCAGACUCCUACGGGAGGCAGCAGUGGGGAAUAUUGCACAAUGGAGGAAACUCUGAUGCAGCAACGCCGCGUGGAGGAUGACACAUUUCGGUGCGUAAACUCCUUUUAUAUGAGAAGAUAAUGACGGUAUCAUAUGAAUAAGCACCGGCUAACUCCGUGCCAGCAGCCGCGGUAAUACGGGGGGUGCAAGCGUUACUCGGAAUCACUGGGCGUAAAGAGCAUGUAGGCUGGUUUGUAAGUUGGAAGUGAAAUCCUAUGGCUUAACCAUAGAACUGCUUCCAAAACUGCAGACCUAGAAUAUGGGAGAGGUAGAUGGAAUUUCUGGUGUAGGGGUAAAAUCCGUAGAGAUCAGAACGAAUACCGAUUGCGAAGGCGAUCUACUGGAACAUUAUUGACGCUGAGAUGCGA
rnacentral:rRNA from 1 species